rnacentral:rRNA from 1 species
AACGAACGCUGGCGGCAGGCCUAACACAUGCAAGUCGAGCGCGCCCUUCGGGGUGAGCGGCGGACGGGUGAGUAACGCGUGGGAACGUGCCCUUUUCUACGGAAUAGCCUCGGGAAACUGAGAGUAAUACCGUAUACGCCCUUUGGGGGAAAGAUUUAUCGGAAAAGGAUCGGCCCGCGUUGGAUUAGGUAGUUGGUGGGGUAAUGGCCUACCAAGCCGACGAUCCAUAGCUGGUUAGAGAGGCUGGUCAGCCACACUGGGACUGGGACACGGCCCAGACUCCUACGGGAGGCAGCAGUGGGGAAUCUUAGACAAUGGGGGCAACACUGAUCUAGCCAGGCCGCGUGAGUGAUGUAGGCCUUAGGGUUGUAAAGCUCUUUCAGCUGGGAAGAUAAUGACGGUACCAGCAGAAGAAGCCCCGGCUAACUCCGUG